AUCCUACGGGAGGCAGCAGUGAGGAAUAUUGGUCAAUGGGCGAGAGCAUGAACCAGCCAAGUCGCGUGAGGGAAGACGGUCCUAUGGAUUGUAAACCUCUUUUGCCGGGGAGCGAAAAGCGGUACGCGUACCGCAUCGAGAGUACCCGGAGAAAAGCAUCGGCUAACUCCGUGCCAGCAGCCGCGGUAAUACGGAGGAUGCGAGCGUUAUCCGGAUUUAUUGGGUUUAAAGGGUGCGCAGGCGGCGAGUUAAGUCAGCGGUAAAAUUUCGGGGCUCAACCCCGACAAGCCGUUGAAACUGGCUUG
rnacentral:rRNA from 1 species